UACGUAGGGUGCGAGCGUUAAUCGGAAUUACUGGGCGUAAAGCGUGCGCAGGUGGUCAUGCAAGACAGAUGUGAAAUCCCCGGGCUUAACCUGGGAACCGCAUUUGUGACUGCACGGCUAGAGUGCGGCAGAGGGGGAUGGAAUUCCGCGUGUAGCAGUGAAAUGCGUAGAGAUGUGGAGGAAUACCGAUGGCGAAGGCAGCCCCCUGGGAUAACACUGACGCUCAUGCACGAAAGCGUGGGGAGCAAACAGG
rnacentral:rRNA from 1 species